UCAGCCCAAGUAUUUUGGGCAUAUCUGAUGCACCAUGUAAUUAAGAUCAUUGGAUUAUGUUAAAAAAAAUCCAACGGUUGAGAUGAUAUUAAUUUAAAACUUUUUAAAAAUUAAAUCAAAGGAUAUAAUAUGUUUCAAAAUUCUAAAAAGACCCCUCCUCUUCCUUAGAGUAAAACGAAACCCUCCUUGCCUGUGUCUGCUAAUCUGGGUAAGGCAGACUAAAACGAAACUCUACUCUAUCUCUGUGUGAUAAUCUGGGAAACGCUUCCUUGAACGAAUGCCGACGACAUCAUCCCGAAUGCCGGCGUUACCAAUUUUAGUGCCAAGAAGGCCAUGACACCGAUGUUGUCGAGGACAACGGUGAAGGGGAAGAGCAAGAUUACAUGGUUUAGAUGACAACUGACAAGAAGACACGGAUGGGGAUAUAACCAUGUGUUACCGUGGUCAUUAACGGCCCGUUGGUGGUUUCGAGCUCCUUCUCGAAUCUUCUGGAGCCUGAAUUCCAACCACCAAUAUCAGAAGUGGUUAAAGCCUUAAUACUUUUGGAUCUGAUCAAGGAGGAUCCAAUCGAGGGAGUGAUGUACCCGCCAUACAUGAUGAUAUGUGAAUGGGAAUAUAAUCCUUGUGUCAUUCUUAAAAAGAAAUGUAGUUAUCAUUAUCUUCUGAUGUACUAAGAAAAUGGAUGAAAGAAUGUCUCAAUUGUUAUUUUAUUGAAUAAUUUCAUUUUAUUUGAGCUAAAGAGUUCAGUUUUGUUGUUAGUGAACUUAGAUGAUUCUUUUUGUUCCAUUUUUUAUUUUUUAUUAUAUUGAAUUGGUUGUUUAUGAUGUUAUGUGUAUAGCUGAAUUCAAUAAAUUUGGAUAACUUUUUUCUGUUGGCCAAGAAACUUGCUCUUUUUCCUUGUCAAAAUCAUAUUGGAUUUCUUGCAACUUUGAGGUUGAUAUAUGAAGAAUUAUUACUUUCAUGCAUAUAUAUUAAUGACAUCUUCCAAAUUUUUGAGCUAUAUUCUUCAGGUUUUCAUGUGGUUAGUAGCUUUGGUUUAAACAAAUCUUUGAUAGACAUAAAACUUUCUUGUCAUGAAAUUGUACGUAAAAAGCUUUUGAUUAUUGCAUAACUGAUUUGAAUGGCAAUUUAGCAUAGCAUAAAGCUUCGGUGGCUGAAUUGGAGGUAAAAUAUUAACCAAAGUUUUCUUGAUAUGGUGUAAGAUGUAAAAUCAAAACACAAAAAAAUCAUACAAAACUGUAUAUUGUAAGUAUAAAAAGAAUGGUCAAGUUUCUUCAUCAAUUUUUCAUCAUUUAGGCUCCACGAAGGAUUCAAUAUAAAGCAAUGUUGAAGACUUGCAAUAUGAUUAACUAAAAGUCUAAAAUAGAUUAUUCAUUCAACGUAACAACUUAAUGUAUAAAAAACUACUUAAAAGCAAUUCAGAAAAGAAAAUAUCAAUGAUACAUCAUACUUCAUCCAAACUAUACCAGCAUCAAAUCUUAUAAAAGAAGACAGCAUGGUCAAACAAUGACUAUAUGCCAAACUGUUUCAUAUGCAAUGCCUUACUCUAAACUAAAUAACACCACUAAAGCAUGAAUUCAAUUGCAGGCCUAUUAACAGGAUCGUGAGCCAAAUGCAGCAAUCUCUUGUGCAUAA